CAGUCGCCACGGUAAUACGAAGGGUGCAAGCGUUAAUCGGAAUUACUGGGCGUAAAGCGUGCGUAGGCGGUUUGUUAAGUCUGCUGUGAAAUCCCCGGGCUCAACCCCGGAACUGCAUCCGAGACUGGCAGGCUUGAGACCGGGAGAGGAGGGUGGAAUAUCCAGUGUAGAGGUGAAAUUCGUAGAUAUUGGAUGGAACACCGGUGGCGAAAGCGGCUCUCUGGCCCGGAUCUGACGCUGAGGCGCGAAAGCGUGGGGAGCAAACAGGAUUAGAGACCCGCGUAGUCCCUGUCUCUUACAC
rnacentral:rRNA from 1 species